rnacentral:rRNA from 1 species
CGCGGUAAGACGUGUAAGACGAGUGUUAUUCAUCUUCAUUAGGUCUAUAGGGUACCUAGACAGUUAAUUAAGCCUAAGAUCUCAGCAGGAACUAAUUAUACUAGAGUUUAAUAGAAGAAGGUAGAACGGUGAGUGGAGAGAUGAAAUUCUUUUAUACCACCUAGUGACUCGCAAGGGCGAAGGCGACCUUUUAUGUAAUAACUGACGUUGAGGGACGAAGGCUCGACUUAGGAAACAGGAUUAGAUACCCCAGUACCGUGAGCAGACAAUGAUGAGUGUCAUAUAUAAGUUAAUAAACGCAUAUGUAUAAAUGAAAGUGUAAGCACUCCACCUCAAGAGUAAUAUGGCAACAUAGGAACUGAAAUCAUUAGACCGUUUCUGAAACCAGUAGUGAAGUAUGUUGUUUAAUUUGAUGAUCCACAAAGAACCUUACCAUAACAUGAAUAUUUUUUCUUAAAUAGGAAAUUUACAGGCGUUGCACGGCUGUCUUCAGUUGAUAUCGUGAGAUAUUGGUUAGUUCCAUUAGAUCAACGUAAACCCNNNNNNUAUUUUCUAUAUAAAGUAGUUCUCCGUAAAAUUGGAAAAGAUAAGAGGACUAAG